rnacentral:rRNA from 1 species
AUUGAACGCUGGCGGCGUGCCUAAUACAUGCAAGUCGAGCGAAUGGAUUAAGAGCUUGCUCUUAUGAAGUUAGCGGCGGACGGGUGAGUAACACGUGGGUAACCUGCCCAUAAGACUGGGAUAACUCCGGGAAACCGGGGCUAAUACCGGAUAACAUUUUGAACCGCAUGGUUCGAAAUUGAAAGGCGGCUUCGGCUGUCACUUAUGGAUGGACCCGCGUCGCAUUAGCUAGUUGGUGAGGUAACGGCUCACCAAGGCAACGAUGCGUAGCCGACCUGAGAGGGUGAUCGGCCAAACUGGGACUGAGACACGGCCCAGACUCCUACGGGAGGCAGCAGUAGGGAAUCUUCCGAAAUGGACGAAAGUCUGACGGAGCAACGCCGCGUGAGUGAUGAAGGCUUUCGGGUCGUAAAACUCUGUUGUUAGUGAAGAACAAGUGCUAGUUGAAUAAGCUGACACCUUGACGGUACCUAACCAGAAAGCCACGGCUAACUACGUGCCAGCCGCCGCGGUAA